rnacentral:misc_RNA from 1 species
UACGGAGGGGGCGAGCGUUGUUCGGAAUCAUUGGGCGUAAAGCGUAUGUAGGUGGCCGGAUAAGUCAGACGUGUAAGCCCGCGGCUCAACCGCGGAAUUGCGUUUGAAACUAUUCGGCUUGAGUGCAGAAGAGGAAAGCGGAAUUUCCAGUGUAGCGGUGAAAUGCGUUGAUAUUGGGAAGAACACCAGUGGCGAAGGCGGCUUUCUGGUCUGCAACUGACACUGAGAUACGAAAGCCAGGGGAGCGAACGGG